GCAGACAUAGUUUAAACAAAAUGCUAGAUUGUGAUUCUAGCGAUAGGAGAUAGAACCUCUUUGUCCGCC
rnacentral:tRNA from 1 species